GUGAAAGGUGUCUUUGUGCAGGACUUGGUGGGGUGAAGGGGUGGUGAGAGAGGCCUGAGCCAGGACCUGAAGGCUGAGGCUCUGGGACGCCGUUACUUGCCACUCCUUAGUCGCGCUGGAAAGAUCCGGGUAGUGCCGGCAGGGGGCGGUGUGGUGCAGAAGGGGGUGGGCGGGAGGCCCCAGGGUUUGGUCUUUUUUUUGACACUGAAGGGCGAGAAAGCAGGAUGGAAUAGAGGGAUUUGCCUCCCCGCCCCCUCCCCUAGGUGUCAGAGAGUUCGCGCUGAUUGCAAGGGUGCAGCCUCUCACCCGGCGCUCACUCGGUGUCGGGGAGCGGGGAGAGCGGUCCCCAAGGCGGAGCCUCCCUCCGGGCCCCCGAGUACCAGUGCCCCCACCGAGAGCGGGGAGGCGGGCACCGCGCUGCCCUCCCUCUGCGCCCCGGCCGCGUGGCUUGCGGCUUAUUUUCCCAGCUGGCAAGCGUCGCGCUGCAGACAAGGGAAUGCCUGUGGUCCUGCGUGUUCCCGAGCUCGGCGGCUCCCUGAUCCCGCCAAGCCCCCUCCAGGAGCGGAAGGGUUAAAAAUGAUCUCCCUCCCUAGAUUUUUCUUUGUGGAGUCUUAAUGUCCUGCUUAGCUUGCAGCAUUGGAGCUGGAGGAGUGGAUGCUCUAUAGGCGACCAUUCACCACGCUCUUGCUUUCCAAGAGGAUUCGGGAUCUUGCUAGCAGGCCGAAUUUACCCAGCGAGUGUGUCAACUGACCUAAAGUUUUGAAAAUAGGAACCAACUUGCGGUUUAAUUGUGAAAAUUAACAUUUUCCUUUAGCCGGCUGAACACUUAUGCAGCAAUAAAAAAAGUGAAUUGUUAGGCUUAUAAAUCUUGAGCUUGUCAAAUUUUACAACAGAGGAGCAAUAAAGCACCUUAGAAGAAAUGAAGUUUUUCCUCUAGAGCAGUUCCACUUCACACCAGGAUUUGCAGUGACUGGAGGGCGCCCUCUAUUGAUAAGAAAAUCAAGAGCACUCAUGUACUUAAGGAACAGGAUGGGGUCGAGGUGGGGGGAGGGAAUAAGGGUAAGGGGGGAAGUCAUAGAAAUCACGGGUGAAAAGACACAAACUAAACUGAAUUUGAUCCUUAUCUCUUGGUUGCGUGUUUUGAAGCAUGUUCGAUUAAGUGGGAUGCUUCUUUAUAGCGGUGGGAUUAAAUCUUGUGUUAAAGAAAAAGAAACAUUUUACUCUUUUUUUUAGCAAAAUGCUUUGAAAAACAGUGUUCACAUUUUAUUAGUUUUAAAAGUCGUUUACCAAUAUUUCAUUAAUUUUAUUUCAUUAAUCAUAUGUAGUAAUUCCAAGAGAGUAAAUUUUUGGCCUAAUAGUAUUUACUCCAUAGUAUUAUCUAAAAAUUAUAAUAGCUACUCCCCCC